rnacentral:rRNA from 1 species
AGGACGAACGCUGGCGGCGUGCUUAACACAUGCAAGUCGAGCGGUAAGGCCUUUCGGGGUACACGAGCGGCGAACGGGUGAGUAACACGUGGGUGAUCUGCCCUGCACUCUGGGAUAAGCCUGGGAAACUGGGUCUAAUACCGGAUAUGACCUGCUCUCGCAGUGGGGGUGGGUGGAAAGAUUUAUCGGUGCAGGAUGGGCCCGCGGCCUAUCAGCUUGGUUGGUGGGUAAUGGCCUACCAAGGCGACGACGGGUAGCCGACCUGAGAGGGUGACCGGCCACACUGGGACUGAGACACGGCCCAGACUCCGUACGGGAGGCAGCAGUGGGAAUAUGCACAAUGGGCGAAAGCCUGAUGCAGCGACGCCGCGUGAGGAUGGAAGGUCCGUUACGGGUUGUAAACCUC